rnacentral:lncRNA from 1 species
UGGAUGGAAAAGUAAAACUGUAAAAUAUAUUCCCUUCAGGUUCUCCUUUGAAAACAAGACUUCAAGGUAAUUAAAACCAGGCAUGGCAACCACAACACCUUCAUCAUAUCGUAUUGCGAAGAAAAUUACCCGCCACUACAAUCAUAUCUCGUUUUUACGUACAUGGCUCAUAAAAGAAUAUCCCGCUCUUUGACUUAUUUAUUACAGAGGAGAAAAAAAUGAAAGCAGUUGCUCAUCCACAAACCUAACACUGCUCAUUGUCACGGCGGUGGUACUGAUAUUCUUUUUUCUUCCGGUGGGUUUUAUCGUCUACUGGUGUACGAAAAAAAAUUAUCUGCAAUGUCAGGGAGAAGGAUUACUGGGCGCUCCCGCCAGGGCAACGACGAUACAAGCAAUUACAUACAGGUAAAGUAAUCGCUGCACACAGGGAUAGUUUAUGAAUAAGUUUCAUAGAUAAGAUUGUUAGUCUGGGGCCGGUUUUUCGAAGCCAGAGAUCAAAUACGUUCCCAUCUAAGCUGAACACACAUCAUAUGCAAUUCAUUUGCAAUUAUUAUGCAUGCAGUUCUUUUGGAAAUUGAACAUUCAAGUCUCUUAUCAGUUCACCGUUUAAGCUAAACAUCUUUCUUGGGUAGGGGCGUAAGCGAAUCGUUGUAAGGGCGUCAAUAUUUUAAAACUUCCGGCUGCAUGUCAUUUUCAUCAUUAUUGCCAUAGUAUCCUGCACAGAAUGUUUUGCACAAACCUUGUCUCGAUUGACACUGGCGGCCUGGCCCCGCCAAUGUUCUUGCUGGCCCCCCUUCCCCAAAAUCCUGGCUACGCCUCUGCCCGUGUGAUUCAAUUUUUUGAUUGAAAUUCAAUGCACCCCGAACAAAACAUUGAAUACUGUUAUAAAGUACUGUUUACAGGUCAGCUCCUGCAAAAUCAAACCUCUUCUUUUCUUAUGAAACUCGUGGAGCUGCUCACUCCUGAAGGUAGGCCAAACUGGAAAGAUCUAGCGGCAAAUUUUGGCGAUUUCGCUUACGAGGAAAUCGCGAACUUCGGAGUUGGCAAAACUACAGUGGAGACCAAAAUCACGUCAACCAUCGACAAAUUAUAUAGAUGUUGUCUCAACAUUAAGAAGGAAGAUGUGGCGACGUACAUUGCCGAUUGUGUAAGCCAAAUAACAGACACUACACUUGUGUAGACAAUUGGCCUUUUUUGACAGGCGAUAUCCGCCGUUUCCUGCAUGCCUAUAUGGGUACCAAGUGAGCACACGACUUCGUUUCGACGUGGAAUUUUGGUUGAACUUUUGUCGCGACGUCGAUCAGCGGGAAAUCGACGUUGUUUCCACGUCAAGGUCAUUUCCACGACGUCGAAUCAAUGUCGCUUGUCAACGUUGUUUCAAGGUUGAAACAUGGUCGAUACGUAGUUAUAUACGUACAGGGUCGUUCGGCAACCAAAAAUCGACUGGCUUUCAAUAUUGCCGCAUUGCCGUGUUAACACAACCUACGACUUCAACAUUGCCGUGUUAACAAACCUACGACUUAAUUUUUUACGGCGAAUUGGUUAGCUGAUAGUGUCUGAUACUGUAUAAAAUAUUUCGAGAAAUUUGUACGUUCUUGAAAAAAGCGUUAAUGCAGGAUUCCGGGAGUCGGUUUGUAGUAUAGUUUACAGCUAUAGCCCGUGGACAGACACAUUAAAAUAAACAAUUGGCCGUGGAAAAAAUUAUUGUUCCUUAUACUUAGCUCUUUGACUCGAGUUCGUUUUUCCGGAGCAAGAGAUUUAAGGGGCGGCUGCCAUUCUGCGAAACACAGAUUGGAUAAUCUUUAUUUGUUUGUUAUUGUUGACUGGCAUACCAAGAGAAGUUUUUGGAAGGUAAGAUGAGUGGAUAGAUUCAUAAACAUUCCGAUGCCUAAUGAGUUAGCCCAUUAACAGGCAAAAAACCUUUGUCGACCCCCAGCGUCGCUAGCUGCAGGCCGUAUCACCCUAAUCGGGAACCUGCGCACAGGUAGAGCGGUUUUGAAAUGGGCUGUUGAUGUUUCUCCUGCUUUCAACAUGCGACCUAUACUAUAGUUCGGUAUAUUGUUCAUUUUUAUUAUUAAGAACAUUUACGACACAAAAUUUGCAUAGCUGGGCUGGCUACGUCGCUGCGAACGACGCGAUCAUAACGCCUAGUAGGCGUCUUGUUAUAUAUUGUUCGUUAAAAUUUCUAUAAGAUU